GAGCCGUUCUUCCAAAUCUGUGUAAAAAACAGUUGUCAGUUUUUAGCAGGCGGCAUUGGAGGUAUUUGAGAACUUUACUUUGCCCAACUUCCAAACUUCUCCAGUACCCGAUGACACGAUUGUUUGUGGAACCUGUGGUCCGGCAAGGUUCUCUUGGAACGAUAUUCUCCAUUGGUACAGGUUCCGCAAGGCUUGGUGUGGCACUUCACGACGUCAUCCCAGUUUCAUGGUUUUCAUGUUGUUUGCCGUCGACAUCGGGAGAACCCCAAAAUUACGAUGAUUGCUAGGUGGAAUAACCGGCAGUGCAAAAACCACAUAAAAAUAUCAAA